rnacentral:lncRNA from 1 species
UAUAUAAAUUAAAAUGCAUGUGUUAGUAAAUGACCAAAGCACUCCCUAAACACAACUCACAUGGCGUAACAUGACUGGUGACUGAGAACAUACAAACUCUUCACAGCCAUCUGGUCCCUCUCUCUGGUCAUAUAAAACUGAGUGACCUCCCAUAGCGUUUCCUGGAGAUUUCUUAGAACAAUCAUUCCUUCUUUGCAUCCAAACCCAAAAAUCCAAGGCCUCUGAUCUCCGUAAUUCAUAUAUCUCUUUUUCUCUCCUAAAUUCAUAUGACUGUCAAAAUGCAAAACAAGUCUUGUUUACUUCUUUUCUUAGUUCUCAUUCUUUCUUGCUUCAUAGCUCAAAUCCUUGGGAACAAGCAAUCACAAGCACUUGCUCAGCUUUACAAGUCCAAGUUGAAGGAAGGUGCAGGCAUCGACACAAGCCAAUUCAAGGCAAUUCUUCACGACAAUGGAGCCAAAAUUCAUCCUCAGGAGGGGUUGAAGGAGAAGGACAGGAUUGAUAGCUUGCCUGGACAACCCCAUGUGAAUUUCUCUCAGUAUGGUGGGUAUGUUACAGUGGAUAAAGAAGCAGGUCGUGCACUCUUUUACUAUUUUGUUGAGGCGGAGAAGGCUAAGGAUUCCUCACGUCUUCUUCUAUGGCUCAAUGGAGGUAAAUUACUUUCCUACUCUUGCAAUGUAGUCAGCGUCAACAGCUCAAUGAUGCUGGUAUAAUUUGUCAUUGCUAGGAAAAUUCUGUGUGGUUGAUUGUGAUCUCCUCUUUGUCCGUGCAUACAUUCUUUCCUUUAAUUCUAUUGUUUUUAGUUUUUUGGGUAUUUAAAGGGAUGAAAAUAUAUCCCAUUAAACCACCAAGAGUGCCCAGUAGUUUGUCCGUCAUUUGGGUAAGGUUCUGAGGUUCGGUUGGAUUUGCUCCCCAGUUUGAGUCCAGGCAAUUGCAACACCUGGUGGCUAGCAGCAGGCUCAGUUCCGCGAGUAGGAAUUAGUCGAGGUGCUCAUAAGCUGGCCCGGACACCUCAUGGUAUUUACCAAAAAAUAUAUAUAUAAAUCCCAACAAAAUAAAUGAAAAUUUCACGAUUCUAGUUUGGUACUAGCCACUCUAACCACUCUUUGUAGUGUACCACACGUUUGCAUGAUGGUUGCUAGUUUUCUUUGGCUGGAGGUGACCCAAUAUUGUAUUCAUCAAUUAUUGAUAGUACCGAAAAUAAUAGUUCUUAUUAACCAAAGGGUUAAUAAUCUAUAGUUCUUAUUCAUCAAUUGUAUCAAUUAUAAUAUAAUGACUUUGGUCAAGCAACCACGGCAUUGUGAUCAUGGCUCAAACACACAUGGAUCACUGUUAAUCGUAAUUUAUGCUAGAAUUUACAUCCAUCAAUCACUGACAAUGAUUCAUGCACGACGGACAAACUGCCCUCCUUCGUAUUUUCUUUAACAAUAAUUAAUUACCAUUACUCAUUAUUUUAAAUAUUUUUAUUGUUAGAAACAUUUCAACUUUCAUUCACAUUCCCCAGGUGGCUUCCUGCCUCCCUCUUUAAUUUGCGGAAUGGCUGGGCUAACAAAUCCCAGAAUUCACUCUUGCGGAGGAUAUCCCGGCGCUCAAGCUGUAGCUGUAUAUUUUUCAGUAGGGGAAAUAUAAAAAAAUUUUAAAAUUCAACGUUGACAAAGUUCUUGGUUGAUAACGUGCAGCUCAAUUAUUUAUCAUUAAUAUAAUGAAUCUAAUUUUUUUGGUAGAGAGAGAGACCCUGAAGACUAUAACUUCCUCUUGCAUUAAGCUCUGUGAAUUGGAUCCAGUGACAUUAUCUAUUAGUUUGAUGGCAAUUUAAUAAUUAUAUUACCUGUGUGUCUAUAAUUUAAACGUUGCAAUGACUUAAUGUCUUGACAGGACCUGGAUGUUCUUCUCUUGGCUAUGGAGCAAUGCUAGAGCUUGGACCGUUCCGAAUCCACAGCGAUGGAAAAACACUUUACAGAAACAGAUUUUCAUGGAACUAUGGUAAAUCUAACACAGUUAAAAGGGACUAAAGUAUGAUUUUCGAAGUUUAAAGAAAUUGAUCCUUUUUUCUUUUUUUUUUUCCAGCUGCUAAUGUUUUGUUCCUCGAGUCCCCUGCCGGGGUGGGAUUUUCUUACUCAAAUAAAACAUCUGAUUAUGAUGCCAGCGGGGAUAGAAUAACAGCUGCAGAUAAUUAUGUGUUUUUGGUGAAUUGGUUGGAGAGAUUUCCAGAAUACAAGGACAGAGAGUUUUAUAUUUCUGGUGAAAGCUAUGCAGGGCAUUAUGUACCUCAACUUGCGCAUACUAUUCUUUACCAUAAUAAGAGGGCUAACAAGACAAUUAUAAACCUCAAGGGCAUAAUGGUAACUCUCUCUCUCGUGAAGUAAAAAUCUAUUGCUAAUAAUAAUUGGAAUUUAGACUCUAUUUGGUGCUAUAUUCUUGGAUUCUUGGUAGUUAGUGAAAGUUGUAAUUGUAAAGGUCUUGGGAAAAUGCUUUGCAUUGGUCCCUCUAGCAUGUGGCCAAAUGCCCACAUUUGGUGGAGGAAAAUACUUUCCUAUUUGUCAUCAUAUAUCUCUUUUAGUCUUAGUUUCUCAUAAUUCUUGGUCUAGUCAUUAUCAUUUCUGUUUUUGAUUCCUGUGGUUGCACAUGCUGUGGGCUGGCCCUUUGGUUCCUUUGGUUCGGGCCAUGUGAUCAUGCCCAUUGCCUACCUUUUGUUGGUAUAAAAUUUGCUUAUUGUAUGUUGUAAUGCAAGCAUCAAGUCGAAUAUGGUUGAGUAUAAAUCCAUAAAUUGGGUAAAGAAACAAAAAAGUUCUACGUAUUGGGAGGUGUGUAUCGGGCUCAUACAAUAUUAGGGAAGAAAUUUACUAUUGUUACGUCUCUAGUUUGGUUCUCAAAAUGAAACUCUCAUGUCUAAUCUCAGAAUAUGGGAAUGGAAGAUGUUCAUUUGCCGAUUCUAGGAACACUAACAAAUGAUGGUCAUUUAAUGUCAUUUUCUUUUAUUCCCAUGUUUGGUUUGUGUAGUAUUAAGAAUAAAAUAAUGUUCUAUUUCCGAUAAAUUUUUUUGGCCAUUUAUUUUUUACUUCUAAUUGUCACCCUUCUUGGGUAAGUAAAAAUUUAUUUGGCGCAUGAUGCAGAUUGGAAAUGCAGUGAUUAACGAUGAAACUGAUUCAAGAGGAAUGUACGACUACUUAGCAAGCCACGCCGUCAUUUCGGAUCAAACUGCAAACAAAAUCAACAAAUAUUGUGAUUUUUCACCCAAUGCCACAACGCAGCCUAAGGAGUGCACUGAUGCCACUGAUGCUGCCGCUAAGGAUACCUAUUACAUUGACAUUUACAAUAUCUAUGCCUCCUCAUGCGUUUCCUCCAACGUCACUGCAAAACCCAAAAAGGCUUCAGUGAGUUAAAAACAACGCCCUUAAUUAUAUUACAUGUAGAUAUUUAAUCUCUGCUGUUUUCAAAACAUUUUGUUGUGUUGAACUGCCGAGCUGCAGAUAUUCGAAUUCGACCCGUGCAGCGAGUACUAUGCUUAUGCUUAUUUGAACCGGCCAGACGUUCAACAAGCUCUCCAUGCCAAUGUCACUAAACUCACACAUGACUGGGAACCAUGCAGUGAUGUUAUCACAAACUGGAGCGAUGGUGCAUCGACCGUACUGCCCCUUUUAAAAGAGUUCCUGGCUAAUGAUGUUCGAGUGUGGAUUUUUAGGUGAAAUUUUGAUGCCCUUCUUCUUCUUCAUCAUAUUAAACUUGCAAUUUGCCUUUCUGGAGUUUCAGUAUUUGAAAUGUAAAGCUAAUACCAGCUCAUUCUUAUCGAAAUAAUGAGUGCAGUGGAGACAUAGAUGCAAGGGUACCAGUCACUUCAACAAAAUAUUCUAUUGAAAAGCUGAAUCUUCCAAUAAAGACUGAAUGGCAUGCUUGGUUUCUUGGUGGAGAGGUAGCUUCUCAUUUCUCCAUCUUUUUAUUGUCCUUGGAUUUUCAAAACCACUGGUGUGAAUUAUUUUGGAUGUUUUAUUUAUAUAUAUAUAUUUGUCUUGUGCAACAGGUUGGUGGUUACACACAAGUGUAUGGAGAGCUAACAUUUGCUACAGUGAGAGGGGCAGGGCACCAAGUGCCAAGCUAUCAGCCUGCAAGAGGACUUUCCCUCAUCAAGCACUUCCUUGAUGGCACACCACUCCCUGAUACUACAAGAUAUACCUAAUUUCUUUAAAUAUUUCUAGCUAUCAGAAUGUCAUUACCUUGUUACUAAUUUUUUAGUCCACACAAGGUCACUUGAUUUCUCGCUCUUCUAGUUGUAAUUUAUUUUCAUUGAUUAAUAAAAGUUCAUAACAAUUGCUUUUUUAAUUGAAGCCCCUACCCCCCUAAAGAUCGUCUUGUAAGUUGUAAAGUUAGUCCAAAAUACCCAAACUAUCUAUAAGUGGCGGAGUCAGAAAUUGAUAUUAGAGGGCUUGCGAAAUAUAAAAUUUGAAAGGAAUGAGAGCAUAAACACUACAAAGUUCUAGUGGAGCUUCUACGCAUUAUUUUUCUAAACCUGUUAGUACGAAAAUUGUAUUGGCAUUUCCUAGACUCUAGCAUAGGUUGAAAAUUAGUAUGUGAGGAAUUGUUACUGGAUGUUUUGACACAACUCAUUCAAUCCCAUAUUUCUAAGGCAUAACUUGACCGAUAUGAGAAACUUAACAACAGGUAAAUCAUGACAUAAUCAUGCAUUCACAAUAGGAUUUAUAAUUGAAGUUAUUUUCAAUGUCAUUGUGAUUUAAGUUAAAAUAUUAGUGGUUCCUAUAGUGACGUCCACCAUGCUCAUCUCCUAAUUAACUUGUUUUAGGAGAUAAUUGUUUCUUUAUAAAAAUGGAUGUUUGGUGUCCUCACUAAGAGUCCAUAUUGAAUCACAAUUCAUAUUCAUCAUAAGAUAGUAUUUUAUUUUAUGUUUGGCUUCUUAAUAAACACACCAUAUUGCAUCAGGUUUUGUAAGGAUCGUUGAAUAAGGUUGAAAGUCUUUGUUGAAUAGGAUUCGUGGUCACGUAGGUUUCUCUUGGGUGAGAGAACCUGUUUUGAAUAAAACCAAAGGGCUUUCUACGUAUUAAACUUUUGAUAUAUUGAAUUUGUUUGAGAAAGCUGUUGUGGUUAAUUUCUUCGGUAAGUCAUCAAGUGCUCUCUCGUUGCUUGGUGAUUUAUCGAAUCUUUUCAUAAUUCAUAUUGCAUGCAUACGAACGUCGGUGACUCAUACGGUUGAGGGCACCAAGAAUGUUGUGGCGUUUAUCUUUCGGUGAGCUUGAAGCAAUCGCGACCAAUAUUGCAUUCAUCAUAAGAAGUUUCGAAGAUCAUCCUGUGAGAGAAGUUGAGUUACACAGAAGUCGGUAAACUUUAUCUAGAUUGAGUUUAGGAUAAGUGUGUGGGUACUUCUUGUAAUCUCAAUUCUAUAGUGGAUUUGUUCUGGACCAAAAAGUCCCGUGGAUUUUCCGAAUAGUUGUGAUUUUACCACGUAAAAUAAAUAUCUGCGUGUUUUUUUACUUUAAGAUCUGCACAUUUCAAGAUUACUAAAGAAAGGACAUGCCACUUGGCUGGGGAAAAGAAAAGAUUACUUACUGCAUCAGACAUGAAAGCUCGAUAUGGGUUGUAGGAAAUAUGAGUGCUAAAUUGCUAUAAAAUAAUCAAAUAAACACUACAAACAAAACAAAUUUUUACAACAGUAGUAUGUAAUUAAAAGAACCUUAAUUGAGUCGAGGCAAGUGUUGGACACUCUGACCUUAAGACGAAUUACGCCCCACACUAGUGCUUAUGGUUCACUAGCGUUCGCCUCCUAGGAUACAACGGCUCCCUUCCUUAUGAAAGAAGCACUGCAAUUCACAAGGAACUUUGAACCAAAAUUAUGCAGGAACCUCUCUUUAUGAAGACUCUAAUGCUUUCUAUAUGUGAAAGUCUGUAUGUAGAGGAUUAAACUGAAUUCAUAAAACUGUAGGAGGAUUGCUCUAUUUAUAGAUGAUGAAAUACCCUUUCUAAAAAGGUAUCUUAAUCUGAAAAGGCAAACAAUGCAUCCCUUGGUCUGAAGAGUUGUCACCCCAAACAAUGCAUCCCUUGGUUUGAAGAGUUGUCACCCCCCAUGUGAAGAUGUCUUUAACCCAAGAGCCAUGUCUUUAACCCAGUGGAUUUUAUUAAUUUCCAUUCAAAUAGGAAAAUCAAUAUUAGUUAAUAUUAAAAUUUCCAACAAUCCCCCACAUGAAUGGAAAUUGACUCAACAACAUGCAAACAAAAAAUGAAGACACUAGAGAGAGUCCCUAUUAGAAGAAUACUGCAUCCGGAUAGCUUUUGGCCUUGAACCUUCCAUAGUGGAAUACUAUCGGAUUUACUUGGCUAAUCAGUGAACGUGAUGUCUUGAACUGUUCAGCCGUUUGUGUAAACCCAGACAAUAGCACUCACACAAUAUCCUCCUAAACAUAUUUGGUUCGAUCGGUUGUGCUCGUUUUGGCCCUGAGCAAUUCCUGGUAUUCAUGAGAGCUUUAGAGAAUUCAAGCCUUAAAAAAUUCUCAUAGAAACGGCCUCAUUUCACACUCACAUAGGUGACUUCCUAUUAAGAGUAUCAUGCACUACCCCACUCGGAUUUCCAAGCUAUAGGAAUCAUUAAAAUGAAAGAUUACCCUAAAACACGCUACAGGCAGCACUGUUUCAUCAUAGGAUAUGGGUAGGAGAUGUAAUCUCAGCAGUGCUACUACUUAGUCAACCAUAAUUUGGUUGUCCCUUUUGAACCUAGAUCUUGGGAUCUCCAGUCAGCUAGGUUGGGUAUCCACUAUGGAGACUUUAAAUAUUUAGGCUUAUACUCCCCAUUCCCCUCGAUGAUCAACUAACUCUCUAGUCUGACCUUUAAAUAUUGGAUCCACUAGGUUGACUAUGAACUGAUGGUGUGCACAUUCCAUCUUAUGAAAUUAUAUUCAUUCGAGAGUAGUUGUUUUCAAAAAAUUCCUCCAUGUGUUUUGUUGGGAAUUACUAAGUAAUUUGCCAACUCUUCGGUGGACUUCCCCCACAUUUAAGGUAUUUGUAGGGUCUUCAACCUUUUUAUACCUUAAAAUAAACAUUAUUCUUCUCUUUUAAAGAGCAAAGUACUUUUCCAUUCUUACACAAAUAUGAGAUUACAAAGAUAGUAAAGCCACCCCACAAUUCUCUUACAAUUGUGGUUGCUAUUAAACUACCAAUGAAAUUUCAUACCUUAAACUUUGCAUAUUACGUCUAGUGCAAUUUUGCAAUAGACCCCCACAUUUUCGGAUUCUCAACAUUUGUGUAAUUUUGUUACACAUAUGAAUAUCCUUUAGGAAAUUUCGAAGCCACUUUACUCAUCAUUUCCUUUUAAUGGAAAUUUUCCCUUUCAUACAGACCAUUGUAGUUUGAAGCCUCAUAAUUAGAAACUGAAUUCUACAAAAUAGGGCUUUAUCCCCAUAUUUCAGUUGUUGUCUUUGUAAGACGGAGAAAUACAUGUUUCUGGUCAUUUCAACACUACUUCUCUUCUUGGAAGUAUUCAUCAAUUGUGUUUGUCAAAUAUAGAUAAUACACUGACAUGUUUUCCCUCUUUAGAAAAUUUGCAAAAACCAAAUAUUUGCAAUCUUUCUAUAUGCAAUCCAAUAUAUCAAUUGCGUAUCUUGAUGUCAACCCAAUGGUUCAUAAACAUACGUUUAUAUAACAAGCACUAUAUGCUUCUUAAUGUAUUUGAUCUGUAGAAUUCAUGCAUCAUUUAUGAAUGCAAAAUUUAUAUGAAUAGUCAGAAGCCCAACAAAUGGAUUUAAAAGCCUAUAACCGUUAGAAACUGAAAAUCAAAUUUCUAGUUGGAUCACGUCCAGACACAAUGGCUUCAUUUUAUAUAGACAGGAAAUGGUCCAACAUGCAUACAUAAUUUUAGAUUGUAAAAAAAAAUUUUACAACCCACUUGAUUCAAGUUUAUUCUUCACAUGUUGACCAUGAAUUUACCAACUAGUGAAAUAGAUGCAACGGUUAAAACAAACAAUUAAAAUAUAGCAACUACACCAUAAUAAUUCGUCUUAAGAUUGUAGGAAACAUGAGUGCUAAAUUGCUAUAAAAUAAUCAAAUAAACACUACAAACAAAACAAAUUUUUACAACAGUAGUAUGUAAUUAAAAGAACCUUAAUUGAGUCGAGGCAAGUGUUGGACACUCUGACCUUAAGACGAAUUACGCCCCACACUGGUGCUUGUGGUUCACUAGCGUUCGCCUCCUAGGAUACAACGACUCCCUUCCUUAUGAAAGAAGCACUGCAAUUCACAAGGAACUUUGAACCAAAAUUAUGCAGGAACCUCUCUUUAUGAAGACUCUAAUGCUUUCUAUAUGUGAAAGUCUGUAUGUAGAGGAUUAAACUGAAUUCAUAAAACUGUAGGAGGAUUGCUCUAUUUAUAGAUGAUGAAAUACCCUUUCUAAAAAGGUAUCUUAAUCUGAAAAGGCAAACAAUGCAUCCCUUGGUCUGAAGAGUUGUCACCCCAAACAAUGCAUCCCUUGGUUUGAAGAGUUGUCACUCCCCAUGUGAAGAUGUCUUUAACCCAAGAGCCAUGUCUUUAACCCAAUGGAUUUUAUUAAUUUCCAUUCAAAUAGGAAAAUCAAUAUUAGUUAAUAUUAAAAUUUCCAACAUCUUCAACUAUGGGGGAUUGCUGUCAAGGUGCUUAUGGUUCCUUGUUGUUAGAGAGAGAGAGAGAGAGAGAGAGAGAGAGAGAGAGAGAGAGAGAGAGAGAGAGAGAGAGAGAGAGAGAGAGAGAGAGAGAGAGAGAGAGAGAGAGAGAGAGAGAGAGAGAGAGAGAGAGAGAGAGAGAGAGAGAGAGAGAGUGAGUGAGAGACGAGGACAACGAUGACGCCAUAGCGGUAGUCGUCGUCAUCGAUUUGGUGAGGACAACAGGAGUGAGAGAGAUUGAGAGAGAGAGGAGGCGAGUGUGAGUUAGGGCUGAGAGAGAGAGAGAGAGAGACGAAUGGGAGUGAGUGAGUUAGGUUAGGUUACUUAGUGAGGGUAAUGAUCCAGUGCAAGCAGACUCCGCAUAAACUCUUCUUUGGGCCAAUUAGACAAUGACACAUGGAAAAUGCAUAUAUAAUUACAUAUUAUGCAGUUCGGUUCAGGUCCACCGGUUUAAAAUUUUUUGGACCCGAAGCUUGAAUCGAAGUCAACGGUUCGGGUCAGGUUCAGUGUUGACUUUUUUGGUUUGGUCAAAAAAUCCUUCUUUUUCAAUUUGGUUUGGUUUGGUUUAGCCGAUUCAUUCAGUAAAUCGGUUUUUAUGCCCACCCCUACUUAAAGUCACGAGUCCCACAAUUUAAUUUACAUUCAAUUAUUAAAUAAAUAAAUAAAUAUGGCUCAUUUAUGUACUUUCCCCUUGUGGUUUCAAAGUUGUCUCAGAUUGCCACAUGUUCUUUGAAACGUCUCAAAAUACCACAUACACUUUUAAUAACCGACUCACGUUACCUAUUCCGUCAGUAUUAAGAGACAUUCCGUUACGUGAUGUGGUCCCCACUUCUUGGAGUAUUUAGCCGAACCAAUUCAAAUAAUCUCCUUUUGUCCAAAGCCCAAUUCACAAUUUCCAUAUGUGCUCUUUUGGUCUUCAUCACCCUCCUCCUCUCAACCUUUGAACCCACAACCAAGCCUCACCCAGUCAUCACAAUAGCCUCCAAAAGAUUUCUCUCCCAAAAAUCUCCAACCACCAUCAACACAUACUCCAAAUUACUCAUAAACCAUUCAUGUAAUGGAACGUCUCUUAAUACUGACAGAAUAGGUAACGUGAGAUAGUUAAUAAAAGUGUAGGUGGUAUUUUAAGACGUUUCAAAGAAUGUGGUAAUCUUAGAUAACUUUGAAAACACAAGGAGCAUGUACAUAAAUAAUUUUUCAACACAAUUAGAAUAGCUUUGUACAAGAAAUAAUCUGAUAAGCUUGAGCUUUACUUCUUGAUCAGGCAAACUCCUAGAGUCCAUUAUGAUUAGAAGACCACACUUUGUGAAUUAAGACAAUGAAUUGUCUUACAAUUAAGAGCUAUGGACAAACGCAUAGAGUAUACUCCAAUUAUUUGGACAUUACAAAAUUGAUUGAGCUCUAUUUUUAGAUGAUUUGGCAAGAUAUAUUUGGUUGAUUCUUGCCAGGAAUUUUGAGGUGCCAAAACGAUGCGUAAUGAAUUGGAGUUACAAUACUUCUAGCCAUCCCUCACCAACUCUUUUUUGUUUUUCUUAUUAAAACAAAUUCUGUUUUGCUUUUGUUUUGAAUUUUCAAUCAUGCCAAUUCUAUAGGCAUCAAAGCAAUCCAUGAUUUCAUGAUGUUGACAUGAGUCUCCUAAUUAAUCAAGGAGAUUUACUUCCUUGAUUAAUUAAGCGAAUUACUUUCUAAUUUUUUAUAUAAAUGAUAAAUCAUUGUACAAUUAGGAGAUACUUUUCUAAUUCUUUAUUGUAUCUAAUUCCUUGUAAGACCCUCAUGUAAACUACUAUAUAUACCUCCUUAUGGAGAAGAAUAAAAAAAAACCUAAUGCACUCAAACCAUAUUCAUAUUUUAGCAUAGUAUCAGAGCUAGGUUCUCCUAUGACCUGUGCUUGGGCUAUUCUUGAAAUUUAAGUGCUCUCUCCCCUCCUCUUCAAGGGGGGGAGGGGGAGUGAAAAUGAUAUGUUUAUUGACAUAUCCUCAUUCCCUUGCCGUAUUCCAAUGACGAUACUGCAUAUUUCUUUACUCUGAUGACCCCUUCUCUUCAGGGGGAGAGGGGGAGUGAAGAGAAGUUGUUUUGUCUCUAAACCCUUAUCUCAAAUUUCUCAUAUUCAAAUCCAAAACCCUAAAUCAAAUUCCUCAUAAUUUUCCCCAAAUCCAAAUCCAUCAAAUCUAAAGUCCUCAAAUCCUCUUAUCCAAAUCCCUAAACACAUACCCUCAAAUCUUAUACACAUACCUCUUAACUCCAGUUCCUACAUCAAAUUCCUCACCUUCUCAUAUCAUGUCUUACUUCCGCUGCGAUGUCAGGAACCCCUACGAUUCUCCAUCUUAUUGCAGACUCACAGAAGCAUGUAGUCACUCCUACUAACCCGGCUAUGCGGACUCCUACUUCUAUCACCACCACCAAAGGUUCUACUUUUCAUACGUCCUCCAAGACCAGAUAUUGCAUAUGUUGUGAGUGUGGUUAGUCAGUUUAUGCAUUCAGCCAGUGUGUCCCAUAGGAAUGCAGUUGAUCGAAUCUUAAGAUAUUUAAAGUCAGCACCUGGGAAAUGAUUAAUGUUCUAAAAAAAAUAGAGAUCUCGAAGUUAUUGGAUAUACAAAUGCUGAUUGGGCUGGCUCCAUUACUGAUAGACGCUCUACUUCAGAUUACUUUACAUUCGUGUGAGGUAACCUAGUCACUUAGCGGAGUAAAAAGCAAAAUACGAUUUCUCGGUCUAGUGCAGAAGCAGAGUAUUGAGGAAUGGCUCACGGAGUUUGUGAAUUACUGUGGAUCAGAAGACUCUUGACAGAAUUGGGUUUCAAGCCAGAAAAGCCAAUGGAGUUGCAUUGUGACAACAAGUCAGCUAUCGAUAUUGCCCAUAAUCCAGUUCAACAUGAUCGAACCAAACAUGUUGAGGUGGAUUGGAUAGACAUUUUAUCAAAGAAAAAAAAAUUGAGAAAAAGAUCAUCCGCCUACCAUUCGUAAAAUCAGAAGAUCAACUGGCAGAUAUCUUAACCAAAGCUAUUUGUAGAAGUGUAUUUCAUGACUCACUUACCAAGUUGGGGCAUUAGUGACAUAUAUGCACCAACUUGAGGAGGAGUGUUGACUUGAGUCUCCUAAUUAAUCUAGGAGAUUUACUUCCUUGAUUAAUUAAGGGAUUUACUUUCAUAUUUUUUAUAUAAGUGAUAAAUCAUUGUACAAUUAGGAGAUACUUUCCUAAUUCUUUACUGUAUCUAAUUCCUUGUAAGACCCUCAUGUAAACUACUAUAUAUACCUCCUUAUGGAGAAGAAUAAAAAAAAAAAACCUAAUACAUUCAAACCAUAUUCAUAUUUUAGCACAUUAAAAUUUUUGUGUAUUUCCUCAGUUCUAGCCAGGAGAGUUCGUGGCGGUGCUUCUGAAAAGUAGAAUAUAUGUUCGCUUCCUAGAGCUUUUAUCAAUAGUGCUUUUGGGAGAAUUAUGUGUUAGUAUUAUGCAUUGCAACUCAUUUUCAUUUAUUUUUAAUUAAAAAUGCAAAACGAGAGAAUAAUUUUCGCAUAUAUUGUACAUUGUAAUAAAAUUAUGGAAUAUCUUAUCACAAUCUAAUUGUGACUGACUUACUAGCAAGCACUCGAGGUAUUCUAUUCAACUUAACUUUAUAUGACUACAUUACAAUAACAAAGUUGUAGCUUAUUGUUAUUGGGGACCUUCGAAAAAAAAGAGCAUAAUUACAUUAUCUAAUUGUCAAAUGCUACAAUCAUUCAACAAAAUCAUGAGAGAACUAGAUUAAACAAGAAAAAGGAUCAUCCCAACAAAUUGCAUAAGAAAAAAUCCCCAAAAUUUAACACCCAAACCCUAUAUUAUAAAAACUUAACAGUAACAAUUAAAAUUUAAAAUUGAAUAAAAAGAAAGAGAGAAACUAACUAAGAUUGAAGAAGCCACCAAAGAGAGGUUGAUAGAAUUUUGGAGGAAGAGAGCUACUUCUUCUAAGCUCACGAAGUUCAAUUUCUGGAGUUAUGGGUGGCUAGAAAAGAAAAAAGAAAAAAAAAAGUAGUGAUGGUUCAUACUUGGGCUUAUUUCUACAUGGAGAUGUGGGCUUAAUUCUACAUAGAGGGGUGGGCUAUUAUUUGAUUUACCAAGGCUGGUCCUGUACCACUCGGCCUAUUCUCCAAAAUUAGCAUUGGCUUGAAGCCGUUUUGUAAAUCCGCCCUUUACUACAAUACUCGUACGUCAACAAACCACAAUUUGAAGAGUUUAGUUUGAGGACUAUUGAAUUCCCUUUCUCCAAUAUAGAUGUAUAGAAGAAAGAAAGAAAAAAGUUACCUUAUUUUUAUUGGAAAAGAAAUACGAAGAAGUACCCCAACUACAAUUUUCUAAAACGAAAUUAGCUAAAAUUGAUUUAACAAUCCAUGCCAGAAGCUCGUUUUGACUGAAUCUAUUUGACAAAUCGUCCAAGAAAAAUGCCUAAAGUAGGUUUAUUGAUGGAAGGAACUCAAAAUAAUUAGGGUUUAAACUGAUAUGUUUAUUCUUCUCUCAAUGAGGAAUAUAUAUAUACUACAUACAAAGUGGUUACAAAUAGGGAAUAUGUAUAAAAUCUCCUAAUUCUACUCAAAUUAGAUAAUUAUAAUAAAAUAUAAAUACUAUUCCUAAUAGGAAUGUGGACUCAUGCCAACACUCCCCCCUCAAGUUGGUGCAUAAAUAUCAGUAAUGCCCAACUUGUCAAGUGAGUCUUCAAAUCGGCGCUUUGACACGGCAUGGGUCAACAUAUCUGCAAGCUGCUCUGAAGAAGGGCUAAAAGGUAUAUAAAUUAACUUAUGCUCCAACUUCUCCUUAAUGAAAUGCCAAUCAACUUCUACAUGCUUAGUUCAAUCAUGUUGCACCAGAUUGUUAGCAAUUUCAAAUGCUGACUUAUUAUCCCAGUGGAGCUUUAUAGCAGCAUUCAGUCUAAACCCAAUUUCAGCAAGUAACCACUUUAACCACAGUAUUUCACAAACCCCUUGGGCAAUCCCUCUGUACUCAGACUCUGCAGAGGACCGAGACACAACAUUUUGCUUCUUGCUACGCCAUGUAACUAGGUUACCACUAACAAAGGUGAAGUAACCUGAUGUAGAACGUCUAUAUGUAAUAUUCCUUGCAUAAUCUACGUUAGUGUAACCUUCUAGAUCCAAGUGGCCAUUUUUCUUAAAUAAUAAACCUCUCCCAGGAGUAGACUUUAAGUAACUCAGAAUACGCAUCACAGCAGCCAUAUGAUCCUCACUAGGUGAAUGCAUAAAUUGGCUAGCUAUGGUUACAACAAAGGCAAUAUCAAGGCGUGUCAAUGAUAAAUAAAUCAAUCUCCCAACCAAUCUUUGGUAUCUUUCUUUGUUAGUUGGGACCUGAUCCACAUAAACACCAAUUUUAUGAUUCUCAACAAUAGGUGUAUCAGCUAGUUUACAGUCAAGCAUUCCAAUAUUUGCUAGUAGAUCCAUGACAUACUUCCUUUGUGAAAGAAAUAAGCCAUGUGUAGAUCGAGUGACUUCCACUCCUAGAAAGUAUUACAGAUUGCCCAAAUCUUUCAUCUUAAAUUCAGAUGUUAAACGCUUCGGCAGUUCCUCGAUUUAUACAGUAUCAUCACCAGUCACAAUCAUAUCAUCAACGUAAAUAAUCAACAAAGUCACCUUACCAGCCCUAUGUUUAAUGAAUAGAGUAUGAUCAGUAUAGGCCUGUUGGUAACCAAACUUCUUCAUAGCAUUAGUAAAUCUGCCAAACCAUGCCCGAGGAGACUGCUUUAACCCGUACAUCACCUUUUUUAAUUUGCACACGUUCCCCGUUUCACCGAUAACCUUACACCCUGGUGGAAGACUCAUGUACACUUCUUCUUCUAGUUCACCAUGUAAGAAUGCAUUUUUUACAUCAAAUUGCUUCAGGGUCCAAUCCAAGUUUAUUGCCAAGGACAACAAAACUCUGACAGUAUUCAUCUUAGCCACAGGUGCAAAAGUAUCAUGAUAAUCAACUCCAUAUAUCUGAGUGAACCUUUUAGCUACUAAUCUUGCCUUGUACCUCUCCACAGUACCAUCUGCAUUAUAUUUAACUUUAAACACCCAUCUUCAUUCUACAGGCUUCGUUCCCUUUGAUAGAUCAACAAUGUCCCAUGUAUUAUUUUUUUACAACGCCUCCAUUUCAAUAUUCAUGGCUUCAGCCCACUUUGGAUCAUUAAAUGCCUUCUCAACACCGGUUGGAAUUUUAAUAUUAUUAAAUCUGGUCACAAACGCUUUGCACUCAGGGGAUAACCUUUGAUCAGACACAUAAUGGGCAAUACAUCUCGCUUUGCCUUCUGGUAAGUAACGAUCUGGUGGAACCCCACGGUUCCGUCUAGGCAGUAAAACAUAAGAAUUAUCAUAAUUAUGAAUAGAAGCACUUACCUUAGGAAUAUCCAAAGGAGCUUGAUCGGGUACUAUUAGAGAAACUUCAUGGGGUCAAUCGGUUCAGUGACAGUAGUGACAUCAGUUAAAAUAGCAGGUUCAGCUAGUGUAGCAGGUUCGGCAGGUUCGGCCGGUGUAUCAAACUAUCCAAUACUACUUUCCCUUGUAAAUCUAGCCAGUUAUGUCCUUCACUACUAGUCUCCCCCUGAAGGACAUGCUUGGGUGUAUCAGAGAAGAACCUUUCGUUCUUAAUAAAGGUAAUAUCUAUAGAGACAUAUAGACAUCCGGCUGCAGGAUGAUAGCAUCGGUAACCUUUUUGAUGAAUAGAGAAACCGAGAAAGACACAGUGGAGAGCACAUGGGUCCUGCGUACUCCUCUUAUUCUGAUGGAGGUGAACAUAGACGAUACAACCAAACACCUUUGGAGACAAAGUUAGCAUAGAAGAGGCAGAGAUAUGAUGGGUCAGUACUUGCAUAGGAGUUUGGAAAUCCAAAACUCGUGAAGGUAGACGAUUCAAGAGAUAGAUGCAUAGGUAACAGCAUCCAUCCAAAACCGCUUUGGAAUUGACGCACGAAGCAGCAGAGCACAAGCAACAGCAAGGAUCUGCCCAUUUUUACGUUUAGCAACCCCAUUAUGUUGUGGUGUUUGAGGGCAAGUAGUUUCAUGGAGCACACUCUUAGUGUGAAAAAAAAUGGGAUAACGCCAAAUUAACAAAUUCUCCACUAUUAUUAGAUCGAAAAACCUUGAUUGGGAGCAUAAAUUGAGUCUGAAUCAUCUUAUAGAAACGCUGAAAAAUUUCGACCACAUCACUUUUAUUUUUCAUCCCAUAUAACCACAACAUACAAGUGUAAUCAUCCACAAAGAACACAAACCAACGAACUCCCAAGGCUGUAGAAACAAGAGAAGGUCCCCAAGUAUCAAAAUGAACUAAAUCAAAUGGCAUAAGCCGUUUAUUACAACUUAUAGGGUAGGAUACUCGAUGACUCUUAGCUAAAAUACAAGUCUGACAUUGGAAAGCAGACUCGUUGACACCACUAAAUAAUGCAGGAAACAAAUGUCAUAAAUAUCCAAAGGAGGCAUGAUCAAAUCUGCAAUGUAGCAACCAUAUCCAGCGAUGCUGGGAAGUUUCGGCGCUACCAGCAUGAAGGACCUGACUAGUUGCCACAUCAUCCACAUAAUAAAGCCCCCUAUUUUUAGUACCACGACCAAAGAUCUCUUGAGUCUGGAUAUCCUGUAGUAGACAAAAGACGGAUACAUCAGUACAAUGCAAUUUAGCUACUCAGUAACUUACAGUACAUAUAAUAAAUUACUAGACAAUAACACUUGUCUAAUGGUAAAGCAGGUGUCAAGACUACAGAACCAGCCCACAUGACAGGAGCAAUAGCAUUAUUAGCAAUCAGAGCAUGAUCAAUGAGGCAGAAGAGUAGUAGAGAAUAAAGCAGAAGUAUACGUCAUAUGGUCAGUAGCUCCUGAAUCAAUAAUCCAACCUAUAUUUCUUGUUUCAUGGGCAUGGAAAUCCUUGCCAAAUUUACUUGGAGAAAGAGGUGUUGGAGUGCUUGAAACCACGGUCAAAGUCGGAGGAGAGUAGCAGUAAGGUGGCCGUGCCCAGUGGUGAUGUCAGCCACAGAAGUGAGGGCAACAACCACAUGAGCUUUGCUGUCCAGUUGUUCCCUUUUUAAACGUCUCCACUCCUUCUCCUAAUCUGGUACCCCAUGCAAUGCCAGUGUGUGUCGAUAGUAUGUCUCUUUUGACAGGACCCACCCCGAAUUCCUCGGAAUUCAGGACAAAUCCUGUGAAAAUUUCGGACAUCUCACCGAUGCCGGGCCCACUUACUAAAGACCGAGACUUUCUACCAAAAUUUUGGCAGUCUCCCCUGUAAAUCGAACAUUUUUCAAUAUUUUAACCUGCACAAAAUUCACAAUUUAAUAUCCCAACAGGCAGCAUGCACCAAUCACAUAAUCGACCUCCAGCCCUAACAUAAUUGGAAACAGAACCGCCAGCAAUGUUCUUAAAUCAAAAUAAUGCAUUAAACAAUGCAGAUAAUAAACUCAAACUUAUUUAUAAAUGCCCACUGCAAAUAACAUAAAUUAACUUCCCGAAUUUUUAGCAUGCAUCAACUACCAUCUAUGAAUUAUCACCAAUAGUCCCAGGGGCCUCAACCCAUUAUACCACAUAAUCAAACCUAAAAAGAACAUUUAUUUUGAAAUGGACCUCAGAUAGGUCAGGACCACAUACAAUAUUCAAUAUAAUACACUCACACAACCCUUCCUUAGCCAAACGAGGGUAUGAACAAAUAUUUAAUCGCACCUCGGUUUCAACCGAGUUUCAGGACCAACGGUAAGGUCAGAACCAGACUCCACAAAACCACAUAAGUAAUGUUUAGUUUGUGGCUGCACCUAGGUAUUACCAUAGGCUACCUACAUACCCCUUGUGAGGGAUCAAGCCACACGUAGUUCUUUCCACAAAAAUCCCGGUUCCAAAUACAUACAAUGAUAGGACCCGACCCAAUUCCACUUUGGAAUUCGAGCCGAACCCUGUUCAUGUCCGACACCUGGCGGAUACGGGGCACAAAUGACCUAUUUGCCCUUCCAUUCAAAUACAGUUUAUCUCAAGUUUGACUUUGCCGAAACUUCGGCAGAGUUUCCCCUGUAAAUUGAACAUUUCCCAAAAUUUCUACAUGUCAACAAACAUUUAUAUAUCCCACUCAUUCAGCAUAUGUAAAGAAUAUCCAAGCAAAUCAAGCAUCAUAUUAUUCUGGCCUCAGGCUGUAGCAAUUAAAAUAAAUAAAUCUGCUAAUAAAAUUCAUCUCAACUUUCAGAACAAUAAUAAUACACUGGCAAUCUCAAACAUUCUAACUCGUGGCUGCACCUUGUAACUAUAGGCUGCCUACGUACUCUUACUUUGGAAUCAAGCCACACGUAGUUCUUUAAUUGCAAAACCACUCUAGUUCUCAAGUUUCAUCUCAGCUUUCUGUUUCAAGCUUCCUGGCAUUUCUCACAUGGCAAUAUACAAUGAAACGAAAAAAUAAAAACAUUUAUAUCAAGUAACCAUGCUUGGAAAGCCAUAACCAUCAAUUCUUCGUGACACCAAUGGUGACACGUCCUGUCCAGUAAUCCUCGCUGGACUCAGGAGACAUCUGGUCAACCUGAUCUGCAAAUCUCGCUCCCACAGUCAGGAUAUCUCUAAGACUUGUGAGGCAAAUAUGCUAGAAAGACUUAAGUUAUUUAAUACCAUAUCCAAUAAUAAAAAUAUAAAGGCAAACAACUUAAAUAAAAUAAAAUAAGAUAAAUUAAAGCAAAAUGGAUUAAAAUAAAAUAAACAAGUUCCGAAUACCCUUGUAUCGAACUCACGUAAGGUUCAUAAGUAAACAUAUAUAUAUAUAAUUCCAUCUAUUACUUGUAAAACAAACGUGACGCUUAGGAAAAUAAUGGUAACAGUAUAAAAUCCUCAAUUUAGUUUAAAAGCAUCUCAAAACUUAAAUUCUCUCCACCUAGUCGUACCCCUAUUUCUGAUCCACCAAUUCUGUAUAUGCCGUCAAUUCCAUAUAUCCGUCAAUUCCAUUAAUAAUCUGUCAAUUCCAAUGUUAGUCCAUCAAUUCCAUCCUCGCAGGUCUCAGAGAUAACACUUCAAUCUGAGCCGCAAUCCUCGCAGGCCUCGGAGACACCAAGUCCAUCCGAGCUGCAUUCCUUGCAGGCCUCAGGGGACUAUUAGUCAGCCUGAGCCGCAAUCCUCGCAGCCUUCGGAGAUACUAGAUUAGCUGAGCCGCAAUCCUCAUACCACACGGUUCAGGCGUCCCCGAAACUCAUGGGGCAUUAUCAUAAAUAACAAACUGUCUCAAGGUAACUAGGGGGUACCCUCGCGGUGGGUUUGAAAACCAUAAUACGUCAUUUAUAUAAACUUUCAAUAACUUGGUUCUCAACUAAACUUAAAAUAUAUAUAUAUAUGCCAAAAUCUGAUAAAAAUCAAAAACUAUAAUUCUUCCUUUUCAACCACUGAAUAUAUGUAUCAAUUACUUAGCUAGUUUGUUAACCAUAUCGAUCUUUGACUAACAUAUCAUUCCAAUACUAUAUUUAUAAUCUUACAACACAGUUAACCACAUGAAUAUAUAAGCAGGUGAUAAAUAAACAGAUAAUUAAAUACUCAUCUUGAAUUCACAUAAAUUCAAGAAAUUAAGACCAUAAAUAAACCAAUUGAACACUCGCACGCACAUGAACUUUCUAAAAGUUUGAACAUAUUCUAUGGAGCUCAUCCUCAAUAUUUUAUCCAAAGUCCUGGCACUGGGCUUCUAGAAGUGCGUGCAUUGAAUUGAAGGUCAUUCUCGGGCCUAUGUAAGCUUUUCCAAUGAUUAGAAUGGUCUAGAAGCGCCUCGGGACUCAAAAGUGAUAAGUCCCAAAAAGUCAACCUAGGACCCGUGGGGUCCACAACCUCAAAAUUAUGAUCCGAGAGUACCUAGAGGUUCUAACAUCCCUAGGACAUAUGUCCUGAGAGUCUGAUCUCAAUCGGACGGUCGGACUACUCAUGAUCGAACAGUCGGACUAUUCACGAUCGCACGAUAGGAUGGUUACUGUAAACCAAGCCCUAGGGUUGGCCUUUUCGGAGUAUCCGGGACUCCGAUUCACAAUCCAUUGAAUCCUACACAAUCCUGGAAUUGCAUAGAUCAACAUAUAAGAAAUUGAUUGCAAUCCAACGGUUCAAACGUAUCAAACCCGGAAAUCACACAAUAUGUGAGAUCCGUUCAAGGUUCAAACGUUGUCCGAAUUGAGAUCUGCGAAUUCCUACGCGCUCGUGAAAACAUAAGGAUAAUUUUAGAACAUGAUGUCAGACCACCACCCUGCCCAUGCACCUCCACACGCGCCGGCAGCGCGUGGGUAUCUAGAGUAAACUCCGACGGCCGAAAAAACUCCAAACCGCUGGCCAAGAUUCCUGCCCUAGGUCCAGGACAUCAAUUAGAGUUACUUUUGUUCUUGGACCAAUACCAAAAACUAACCGGAACUAGCCGAAACCGUCGGCAUAAUAUGGGUAUAUGGGACAAUCUGUGAAACUUCAAUAUCUACAUAAAUGGAUAGAGCACGAAGAUUAGAUGAAGUUUCAUACCUUACUCGACAGAUUUCGUGGCCGGGAUCGCCGGAAAAUGCAAAAAUACCUCCGAAAAAAGCCUAACCAUUUCUUAGCUUCGGUUCGAGCCCAUCAUUAGCCAAUUGGAUCGGGUCUUAGGUGGGUUUUAUAGAGGAGGACGAGAUGAACACUUUUCUUGAAGGUGGCAUGGCCAUCUGGUGAACGAUAACGUCGAUUUUGUGGCUUGGAAGUCGAACAGUCAUUGUUGCUACAGUGACUGUUGAAAAACAAAGAAGAAGAAAAAUGGCUGAAGCUGCUGGGGGAGGAAGAAGGAGAGAAAAAUACAAAGAGUUCUGGUACUGUAGCAAUAAGAAAUUUUAAAAUUCCAUUUACGUCAUUUACGUUUCUUGACCUUUCCUCCUUUGUUACGACUCGGAAUUGGGCCUGCCACAUGUCUACGAACUCGUAUUGUCGAGCUCUACGCGAUGGUAUCACCCAAAUCCCCAAAUUCCUCCCCAGUCAAAAAGUCAACUUUAAACCUAAUAAAAUAUUCUAGGGGUAUAAUUUUCUUUAAUCAGAAUAAAUUAUUAAUUAAAAAUUAAUUAAAGACCGGGUUGUUACAUACAAUCAAUGACAACAAUACAAAAUAGUAAAUUCUAGAAUUAUUCCUUUCCCUUUUAAUUUAAAUCCAACACACCAGACAGUAUUCUUUUUAAGCAUCAAUCUUUCCCCGAUAUAGUUAACUAAUCCCUUUUUCCUCUCCUUGUUCUUUUACCACACGCCGAAACUCUCCAAAGCCACGUGUGAUAAUCCAUAACAAAUCACAAGGUCUCACACGCCGGAAUAUUCCAACGCCACGUGUGAGACCAAAUAAUCGCAUAAUCUUCGCAUACGCCGGAAAUUCCAACGCCACGUAUGGGAAGUGUCUUACACGCCGAAAAUUCCAACGCCACGUGUGAGACCUAAUAAUCACAUUAUCUUCCCAUACGCCGGAAAUUCCAAUGCUACGUAUGGAAAGUAUCUCACAUGCCGAAAAUUUCAACGCUAUGUAUGAGACCUAAUAAUCACCUUAUCUUCCCAUACGCUAGAAAUUCUAAUGCCACAUAUGGGAAGUGUCUCACACGCCAGAAAUUCCAACCCCACGUAUGGGAAGUAUGUACUUUUACAUAAUGUAAUCAUAUAACUUUGCACAAUAAAACGUAAUAUCUAAUUCCCAAUUUCCCCCAAAAAUUCAUCCAAGACUUAAUCACAAAUAACUUGACCCUUUACAUAACUCAUCGUCAAAUAAUUCAAACCUUCAAAUAACAAUAUAACAUUUAAUAAUCCCUCAGUUUAAAACAAUAAAUUAAUCUCAUAAUCCCACGUAAUCCCAUAACCCAAAUAACGGUCAAGACUUGUCAAUAGGGUCGUUUUAAUCCUUCUAGAAAGGUGAAACUACCUCAGAAGACUCACGAUCAAUCAUGGGUCAAACUACCCAAACAUGGUCAAACGGGCCCGCAAGGCCCAUGACCUCCAAAUUCUGAUUCGAAAGUUCCUAUGGGUUCUACAAGGUUUAGGAUAUACGUCCUGCAAGUUUGGUCCCGAUUGAAUGGUCGGAUCGCUCGUGAUCACCAGAUCGAACGGUUAUUGUAAAACACAAACUUCAAGUUAUUAAAUCAGAACAUUCGGGGCUCCGAUCCACGAUCCGUGAAUUCCUACAUGACCCUAGGAAUGCCUUGAUUAACAUAUAUUAAAUUCAAGACUAUCCAAUGGUUCAAACCUAUCGAACCCGGAUAACGCACAAUAUGCGAAAUUCAAUUUAAAAUCAAACAGUAUCCAAAUUGAAAUCCGAGCACCCUUACGCGCUCGUGAGAACCUGAAGAUCACCUCGGGACACAAUGCCCAUUUUCUACAGUGCCCACGCGCCGACAGCUCGUGAGUGUCCAAAGCGAUAACCUUUCGCCAGAAAAACUCAACAUUACGACUCAAGACUCCUACCCUAGGUUUAACACCCUAUUUGGAGUCACUUUAAUUGAAAUAUUAUAUGUAAAUACUAUAUUUAUGAGUGGAUAUUCUUAUUAAACAAUUUUUUUUUUAAUGGAUGGGAAAAGAGAAACCUAGAUAAUAAGGAUAUGAACCAAAAAUCAGAGGACGAUCAUAAGAGAUAAGUGAAAUUUUUGUGGGAACAUGAAUAUGAGGAUGACAAUGUAUUAAAUUAUUUGUUUAGGCAUAAAAAUAAGUUUGUAAAAGCAUAUUUUGAAUAUGCUAUGAGUCAUAUUCAAUAAAUAAUAUAUAGUUUUAGUUUGAAGACAUUUCUCUCAAAUUAUUUUAGAAUUAGCUUGAAUUCUAAAAUUUCGUACAUGAGAAGCGAAUGAGAUGGUAACCCAAUCACUUUCUUCCCCUUCAUUACCUCAUUUAGUAUUUUGUUAUGUUACAUACUUACAUAAAAUUUCGAGUAUUUGAGUUGAAAUUGUAUAUAUUAUAUGUAAGCAUAACAUUUAUGUAUUUACUAUUGAUUAUAAAGUGCAAUAUGUAUUAUUUAAGUAUUAUAUUAUUAUAUAUAUUCGUAUUCAACAUUUUUUUUUAUUGAUCAGAACAUGAACCAAUUAUAUUACGAAGAUAUGAACCAAAAAACAAAGAAGGGUCAUAAGGGAAAUUUUUGUUGGAAGAUGCUAUGAGUCAUCUUUUAUUAUAAGACAUUUGUUUAAAGUUAUUUUUAGAAUAAGCACGAAUACAUAUAUAUUUUUAUAUAAUAAUAUGUCAUCUUGAGAAGUAAUUAUAGUGUGGUUUCAGAGUAUGGUCAUAUAAUAUUUAUUAUAAUAUAAGUGGAUAUUUAUUGAUAUUAUGUCUUAAAAGUUGAAUAUCUUAUCAUUAAAUGAUAUUAAACACGUAAGUGAAUUAUACUAUGUAGUUGUAUUUUAGUUCCUUAUAGUAAUUUAUUCACAUUUAAGAAAUAACAAAACAAAAAGAAUAGUUUAGAGUUUCAAAAAUUGUUUUUGGUUACACGUUAAAAAACAAUUUCAAUUUGGCCAAUUGAAUUUAUAUAAAGUUACCCAAGUUUUAUUGAUUUUGGUUACAAGUUAUAUAAAGCAACCCCUAACUCAUGAAUCAUGAAAAAAAUCUGCAAAUGUAUAAUUGUAAUAACAUUAUGGUCCACCCUAAUCCAUAACACUGUAAUACCCUAAUUUACAAAGAAAAUGACACACAAUACCAACGUAAGAAUGGACUUUUGAGGAAUAAAAUUAUGUCAUUAUCCUUGUAAAUACAACUAAAAAUCUUGUAAUCUAUGAGAAAACUGUAAACUUUCUUCUUUUAUACUUGUGAUCUUGAAAUUUAAUCCUAACAAUGUACUAUAAAAUCCAUGGCCAUGUUAGGAAAAGAAUAUACAUUUAUAAUACUUAGUGGAUGUCUAUAAAAGUACAGCCAUGUAACAUAGAGUUCAACAAUUAAUAUAGUUCUUAUUUUAGAAAUUGAUUUCAACCAAUUACAUAGACAAAACUCAAGGUGAAAAAAAUUUGAUGGAUAAAGACUUUCAAGCUCUCAAAUAAAUGUUGAUGCGCAUUCACGAAUUCUAUGAAACAAAAGAAACAAAAAAUUAAAACUAUCAACCUCAAUUGUUUUUUAAAAACUAGGCAUAAAAUACGGAGGAAUUAACCACAAUUAGCUAUCAUAAUUCAUAUAAAUAAAACCAGCAACUCAUAAUGAACUUGAGUAAAGCUACAAUGAGGUCACAUAUCGAAAUCAGAAGGAAAAAAAAAGUCUAAAACGGUUCUCAUUAAAAUAAAAAAAAAAAGCCAUUGCGAAAUUCAUAAGCAUGUCAUCGGGAGUCAAAUAGAAUAAACUCAGUUGAAAAAUAACAUGUCAAAUCAUAUGCCAAUUGCCAAACAGGAAGGGCAUAAUUGCACGACCCUUAUGCAACUGCAUUGUUUCUCUCUUAACCUUCAAAUGUUGCUGUUGUGAGAAUUUCGAAAUACUAGAGAAGGAAGCCUUAACCUUUACCUGCUAUAGUAGGUUAUGUUUCAGUUUGUUUAUAAAUCAAUUAUCAUGUGCUCUAUUAAAGACAAAAGGCGCAUCCAUGCGCUUGGUGCACCCUAGUCGUUGCCUUCACGAUGAUAGCAAAAGACGCAUGCACUACAAGGCACAUACCACUCCUUGCAUGUCACAUUCAAGUAUCAAUCAUUGCACCACAGCCUCAACCACAGUUAUCAUCUCAUCUCUUGUCUUCUUUCAAUUUUUUACUUCCAAGAAAAAGUACAAGGAAAAACAAUUCAUGGAAAUGAUAAAAAUUAGCAUGUUUACUUACAAGUAAUGGAAAUGAUAAGAAAGUGAAUUAUUUUCAUUCAUGAGUUUCAUGCAUUUACUUACAUAUGAGAAAUCAUUUAAUACGCGAAUUUCACUUACAAAUCCUUAAUCAAAUACUCAAAGGAAUGGAAAUCGGAUCCCUCCUAGUUGGUUUGAUUCUUAUUCCUUAUUUAUCCUAUUCCGUUUUUUCUUAUUCUGAUUACUUAUAAGUGAACAUGCCAUGGGUCUUUCUAAAAAUAUUAAAUGGGAGCCACCACCUCCAACUUUAAAGUUAGUUUUGAUGGCCAACGUGGUCUAACUUAGUGAAAAAGGGUCUUGACUUGCAGACCAGUAGUCACAUCUUCGAAUCCCCUUAACAUCUUAAAUUAUUUGUUACUCAUUUCCUUUGUCAGGUUGGAUCAUUUCAUUUUAUAUAAAUUAAAAUGCAUGUGUUAGUAAAUUACCAAAGCACUCCCUAAACACAACUCACAUGGCAUAACAUGACGUGUGACAGAACAUACAAAGUCUUCACAACCAUCUGGUCCCUCUAUCUUGUCAUAUAAGACUGAGUGACCUCUCAUAGCCUUUCGUGGAGAUUUCUUAGAACAAUCAUUCCUUCUUUGCAUCCAAACCUAAAAAUCCAAAGCCUCUGAUCUCCCUAAUUCAUAUAUCUCUUUUUCUCUCCUUAAUUCAUAUGACUGUCAAAAUGCAAAACAAGCCUUGUUUACUUCUUUUCUUAGUUCUCAUUCUUUCUUGCUUCAUAGCUCAAAUCCUUGGGAACAAGCAAUCACAAGCACUUGCUCAACUUUUCAAGUCCAAGUUGAAGGAAGGCUCAG